AGUACCUAAUGCAAGUGGAGUUAAUGAACUGUUUGACACAGAAACCUCAGGCACCCAGGGGAGCCCAAGACCUUCAGGACAGCUGCUUAACUUGGCAGUUUAAGUUGCAAGCCAACCAUAUCAGUAUUUAUUUAGUGGAAUUUCUGAGAAGCAGAAACUGUGCUGACCGGAGCCUUUGUAGGCAAACUGAAAAGAAAAAUCAGGUGGAAGAACAACAUGCUAGUGUUUUUCUAGUGAACUCAUAAACAAGUUGAGACUUACCCUUGAGAGCCAGCCAGGUGCUCCUAAGUUUCUGCAAGGUGUCAAGAGAGCUCUGCAUAUGCUGGAAGCAGUAGGGGGGAGGAAGACUUCACAGGAGACAGGAUUACAAGUCAGCAUUUGGUUUCCUUUUGUCUGCUCUUGUUGGAGAUGUUUUUCUUCAGUUUCAUCAAGCCCAAGACUGCUUUAUUUCUGCUUUUGCUGUAUUCUGGAUAUCCAAGCUCCCUGGUAGCCCUUGUGUCAGGAGGAGAAAUCUCUAUAUAAAUAUUCACCUACAACACAAAAACUGUCUCAGGUAAUAACUUGGCAGAAAAACUCUCUUAUGUAAGAGGAGUUGCCUCAACCUAAAAUGUCUCUACCACAUAGCUUUCAGGAAUGACGAGUGUUUAAAGUUAAUAACUCACUGUGUAAUCUUUAACUUGCAAGAAUGUAAUUGUUCAUAUAUGGAACGGGUUGCCUUAGGAGAAAAAAAAGUGAAAUGGCAUGCUUAACCCUCUUUAUUAAUGCUAAAUAGGAAGGAAAAACUAUAUGUAAAGCAUGGCUUCAUCCUGUAGGAAUACAUGCAUUACAUAUAUAUGACAUAUUUAAUUCUGUGUAUGUAUGCAUCAGCUAAAUACUCUCAUUAAAGACCUGAUCUUGAGCUUCCUGAAGUCCACGGAGCUGCUAUUGACCUGAAUGGCUUUGGAAACUACUAGUCCCAAGUACAUAAAUUUAGAAGUCUCCAGAAAUGACCCUAAAAAAAUAUCGACUUAAUUAAGGCUUCAAACUGAAGUGAGACUUGAGCACUCUGAAAAUCUGGCUUAUUUCUUGGGCCACAUUGACUCAAACCACUUCUUUUCUGGUUCUAACCAAAAGACUGCCUCACCUAUUUGAAAAAACAAUUCAA
rnacentral:lncRNA from 1 species